CAUUUUACAGACAAGAAGACUGGGGCAAAAAGAAGUUAACAAUUAGGAAUUGGCAGAACUGUACUGGACAUCGUAAGCCCAAGCUUUAAGACUCAGACUGGAACCUACAUCAUCAAGGCCCCCUAUUCUCAGGCCUUCAGACUGACUAAAUCACACCACUAGCUUUCCUGGUUCUCCAGCUUGCAGACAGCAGAUGGCAGGACUUCUCAGACUUCAUAACCACAUACCAGUGGAUGAAUAAGAGUUUGCUGCAGGAAGAAAGAGGCCCCUGAGCUGAGGAUAAGGACCUUUAAUCACCUUUCUUCUUUUCUUCUACUUGGGAGCUCCAAGGGCUGCAUAUACAUAGUUGCUUCCUUCGAAGAAUAGUAUUAACUGGCAGGGUUAGAAUGCCCCCAGCAAUUGUUAAAGAUGUUUCUUUAGAUGGAAGGUGCUCUGCACCUUGAGUUGUUAGCCUAUUUUGGCAACAAAAUUUGGCAUAUGGUUUGCUCUUCUUUAGUCCCAGUGGUGGUGGUAACAUUUUCUGUUUCAGGGCUGGCUGUGUGCAGUUGUAUGAGACAAAGCUCCUACUACAGCCAUGAGCUCCAGGGGUGUUCACAGUGUUUGCUGCUGGUUUUCCCAAGGAUUUUGCACAAUGAUAAACAUAGUGGGGCAUUCUCUUCCCCUGGCCCAAACAUGUGCACCUACACCAUGGAUGAGCAGACUCUCCGUAGAGCAUCUGCCCUUCUCACAGACCCAGUCUAAGCCCCUUAGAAAGCUGGAGAUAGUUACUUCCAAGCAUCCUGUGUGCUAGAGAGCAGAAAAUCUGAUGUGGAACAUUUGUGUCUUUUGCUAUAGGAAAAUGCAAAGAAGCUAGUAGAGUUAAUUAAUUCUGAGACAGACAAUAGAGCGGGGCCCCAGGCAGGGUCAUUCAAGAGACACAACUUUUUCUUUGGAGCUUUUAGCAGAAGCAGCUAUGUUCUGAGCCCUCAUAACUUCUGAAGCUUUUCUUGGUCAACUAUUUUUCUCUGCUCUGAGGUCAGUUAGAGAAGGUACCCAACUUUCCAGAACCUUCCAAAAAGCAUUUUUAUCAGAAAGGGAGCUCCUUGCCCAUGGCUGGGCUUAGUGAAGCCUUUUGGGGGCCCAGCAUAUGAAUCUGUGGAUCCAACUCAUCAGGACAUGUGUGUGAGAAGGGAAAACACUUCCACAAGGAAAAAUGCCUUUAGUGGCCUUACUUCUGGCACUAUGCUUCUAUUCACCUCCUAAAUGGAUAUGACUUCUCUAACACUAUAGAAUACUAUUUUCACAAACUCAUUUCUACCUCCUCCCAGUAGAUAAUUAUGUUAAUGAAAAGGGGCAACCCUGGGGGGGGGAGUUUUGGUUUUAAUGUGGGGUAACCUGUGAGCUGGGGGAACAGGCAACAACAGCAUUUUCGUAACGAUCUCUUGCAAGUAUCCACAUUCUGAAAUUUAAAACAAAAGCUACUACUGGCCAGUGCUGUUAGCUAAUUGUCAAACAACAGAGAAACACUGCAGCCAGAAAAAUCCUCACUGAGUUUGGGCCACUGAUUUCUCUGGCAGCAAAUGAAAGCUUUGGCUGUUGCCCCCGAGGACUGGCUGAGCAAGCCAGGUCUGAGCCCACUGCAUGUUGUCCCCCCCCCAUCUCCACUGUGGGCACAGCAUGUGUGUGUGUGGGAGGGGAGGUGUAGGAACCCUAACUCACAAUUUCAGGCAGCUGCACACCUCACCCAGGGAUACCACA